GACGAACGCUGGCGGCGUGCUUAACACAUGCAAGUCGAACGGUGAAGCGCCUUCCUUUUUGGUGGGUGUGGAUGAGUGGCGAACGGGUGAGUAACACGUGAGUAACCUGCCCCCUUCUUCUGGAUAACCGCAUGAAAGUGUGGCUAAUACGGGAUAUUCUGGGUCUGUCGCAUGAUGGGUCUGGGAAAGAUAUUGUUUCGGUGGGGGAUGGGCUCGCGGCCUAUCAGCUUGUUGGUGGGGCGAUGGCCUACCAAGGCGGUGACGGGUAGCCGGCCUGAGAGGGUGGACGGUCACACUGGGACUGAGACACGGCCCAGACUCCUACGAGAGGCUGCAGUGGGGAAUAUUGCACAAUGGGCGCAAGCCUGAUGCAGCGACGCCGCGUGAGGGAUGGAGGCCUUCGGGUUGUGAACCUCUUUCGCCAGUGAAGCAGGCCUGCCUCGUUUGUGGGUGGGUUGACGGUAGCUGGAUAAGAAGCGCCGGCUAACUACGUG
rnacentral:rRNA from 1 species